CACGUAGGGACCAAGCGUUGUCCGGAUUUAUUGGGCGUAAAGAGCUCGUAGGCGGUUCGGUAAGUCGGGUGUGAAAACUCUGGGCUCAACUCGGAGAGGCCACCCGAUACUGCCGUGACUUGAGUACGGUAGGGGAGCACGGAAUUCCUGGUGUAGCGGUGAAAUGCGCAGAUAUCAGGAGGAACACCGGUGGCGAAGGCGGUGCUCUGGGCCGUGACUGACGCUGAGACGCGAAAGCGUGGGGAGCGAACAGG
rnacentral:rRNA from 1 species